rnacentral:rRNA from 1 species
UACGUAGGGGGCAAGCGUUGUCCGGAAUCAUUGGGCGUAAAGCGCGAGUAGGCGGUCCGGUAAGUCCGCUGUGAAAGUCGGGGGCUCAACCCUGGAACGCCGGUGGAUACUGUCGGGCUAGAGUCCGGAAGAGGCGAGUGGAAUUCCUGGGGUAGCGGUGGAAUGCGCAGAUAUCAGGAGGAACACCGAUGGCGAAGGCAGCUCGCUGGGACGGUACUGACGCUGAGGCGCGAAAGCGUGGGGAGCGAACAGG